UGGGGAAUAUUGCACAAUGGGGGAAACCCUGAUGCAGCGACGCCGCGUGAACGAAGAAGGUAUUCGUAUCGUAAAGUUCUGUCCUAUGGGAAGAUAAUGACAGUACCAUAGAAGAAAGCUCCGGCUAAAUACGUGCCAGCAGCCGCGGUAAUACGUAUGGAGCGAGCGUUGUCCGGAAUUAUUGGGCGUAAAGGGUACGCAGGCGGUUUAAUAAGUCGAAUGUUAAAGAUCGGGGCUCAACCCCGUAAAGCAUUGGAAACUGAUAAACUUGAGUAGGGGAGAGGAAAGUGGAAUUCCUAGUGUAGUGGUGAAAUACGUAGAUAUUAGGAGGAAUACCAGUAGCGAAGGCGACUUUCUGGACACAAACUGACGCUGGGGUACGAAAGCGUGGGAAGCAAACAGG
rnacentral:rRNA from 1 species